GAAGGUGAACAAACAUCAAAGGUCAUCAUCCUAAAGGAGACAAUACUAAGCCAUCAUGAACUGUAAAAACCAUUCAAGAUCAUCUACAGCUCCAAAGUUCAAGAAUUAGGGGAGACAGGAAGUUGUAGCUACAACCAUUUUCAUUGUGG